GCCUUCGUGGUGUAGUGGUCAGCACACUUGUCGCAUAUUCUAGAUGUUCUUGGUUCGAGUCCCAGUGAGGGCA
rnacentral:tRNA from 1 species